CCUACGGGAGGCAGCAGUGGGGAAUAUUGGACAAUGGGCGAAAGCCUGAUCCAGCCAUGCCGCGUGUGUGAAGAAGGCCUUCGGGUUGUAAAGCACUUUCAGUGGGGAAGAAAGCCUUGGGGCUAAUACCCUCGAGGAAGGACAUCACCCACAGAAGAAGCACCGGCUAACUCCGUGCCAGCAGCCGCGGUAAUACGGAGGGUGCGAGCGUUAAUCGGAAUUACUGGGCGUAAAGCGCGCGUAGGCGGUCUGAUAAGCCGGUUGUGAAAGCCCCGGGCUCAACCUGGGAACGGCAUCCGGAACUGUCAGGCUAGAGUGCAGGAGAGGAAGGUAGAAUUCCCGGUGUAGCGGUGAAAUGCGCAGAGAUCGGGAGGAAUACCAGUGGCGAAGGCGGCCUUCUGGACUGACACUGACGCUGAGGUGCGAAAGCGUGGGUAGCAAACAGGAUUAGAUACCCUUGUAGUC
rnacentral:rRNA from 1 species